rnacentral:snRNA from 1 species
GUGUUCUCACUUUAACCACACACAUAUACUGAAACUGGGAUGAUACAGAUAAGAUUAGCAUAGCCCUUGGACAAGGGUGACAAAUAAAUUCUUGAAGCCUUCCAUUAAAAA